GCCGAUAUAGCUCAGUUGGUAGAGCGGUUCACUCGUAAUGAACAGGUCAGCGGUUCGAAUCCGCUUAUCGGCU
rnacentral:tRNA from 1 species